AUUGAACGCUGGCGGCAGGCUUAACACAUGCAAGUCGAGCGAGCGGCGGACGGGUGAGUAAUGUCUGGGAAACUGCCUGAUGGAGGGGGAUAACUACUGGAAACGGUAGCUAAUACAGCAUACCAUCAGAUGUGCCAAGAUGGGAUUGGCUAGUAGGUGGGGUAAUGGCUCACCUAGGCGACGAUGCCUAGCUGUUAUGAGAGGAUGACAAGCCAGACGGGAACGAAGAAACGGUCCAGACUACUACGGGAGGAAGCAGUGGGGAAUAGGGCACAAUGGGCGCAAGCCUGAUGAAGCCAUGCCGCGUGUGUGAAGAAGGCCUUCGGGUUGUAAAGCACUUUCAGCGAGGAGGCGUUACUCGAAGAAGAAGCACCGGCUAACUCCGUGCCAGCAGCCGCGGUAAUAC
rnacentral:rRNA from 1 species